rnacentral:tRNA from 1 species
GCCUGGGUGGCUCAGUUGGUUAAGUGCCAGACUUUGGCUCAGGUCAUGAUCUCACUGUUUGUGGGUUUAAGCCCCACGUCAGGCU